rnacentral:lncRNA from 1 species
GUUAGCACAUGCCUGUAAACCCAGCAAUUUCAGAGGCUGAGGUAGGAGGAUCACAAGUUCAAGGCUAGCCUUAGCAACAUAGAAAAGCCUUAAAUAACUUAGUGAGACCCUGUCUUGAAAAAAUUAAAAGGGCUGGGGAUGUAGCUCAGUGGCAAAUCAUAAAUAUUUGCUACCUAAGUAAAUAUAAAUACUGUAAAGUGUGUGAAGUAAAAGGAACACUUUCAUGCUGUUGCUGGGAUAGUAAAUUAGUACAAUCACUAUGGAAAUCAUUAUGGAAGUCCCUCAAAAGACUAGGAAUGGAACCACCAUAUGACCCAGCUAACCCACUCCUGAGUAGUUAUCCUAAAGAAUUAAAGUCAGCAAACUAUAAAGAUACAUGCAUACCAUGUUUAGAGCAGCACAAUUCACAAUAUCCAACUAUGGAACCAGCCUAGAUGUCCAUUAGUGGAUGAAUGGAUAAAGAAAAUGUGGUGUAUACACAGUGAAGUUUUAUUCAGCCAUAAAGAAUGAAAUUAUGUCAUUUGUGGGACAUUGGAGAACAUUUUGUUAAGCAAAAAAAGCAAAACUCAUAAAGUCAGGAGUUGUAUGUUUUUUCUCACGUAUGGAAGCUUGAGAGGAGAAAGAAAAAGAUGGGGUGGGGAUCUCUCCCGCAGUCCGGCUGGGCAAAAUAACCGGGAGGUGACAAGCAACUUGAAGGUUGAAGCGGGAACUGCUUUAUUGCGGGGGAACUGAGCGGGAACUCAAGGUAGCAGGAACUCAAGGUAGUGCGAACUCAAGGUAGCGGGAACCCAAGGUAAUGGGAACUGCUUUAUUGCGGAACAGCAGAGGUAUAUAUACCUAACUGAUUACACACAGCUUGACUCAAUUAGCAUCAUCUAGAUACACCAGUCAGCCAAUAAGGAAUCCCCACCAUCUAAAUGGCUCAGCCGAAUUACCUCACAAACCACUCCUCCUGGCAAACUGCCAGGCGCCAUCUUGACUUGAUUUGCGGUCCCCAACAGAUCUCAUGAAAAUUGAAGGGAGAUUAGUAGAGUAGAGGACAGGGAGGGAAAGGGGAAAUAUUAGGGAAUGAUAUUGACCAAAUUAAUUUGUUAUAUUGUGUGCAUAUAUGAAUAUGUAACAACAAAUCCCGCUAUUAUGUACAAUUAUAAAGCACCAAUCUUAAAAAUGAGUAAAAAAUGGCAGGUGGGGACCUUUUGUCUCUGAACUUGCAUCAAGAUGGAGACAGUAGAUUUGGUAGUAUUUUAAAGCUAUGAGUAAGACUUAAUCACAGGUGGGCAUCAGAGUCCUCUGAAGAGUGUAUAAUGAACAUGCCAAACCUGUGGGGUUGGAAGGCAGGCACAUGAAUUCAGAAAAGCUCUGGAAAUGACUCAGAUGUGCCCUCCUGAUGUAUACUACUGCUGUUUGUGACAAGAUCAAUACAAGCAGUCAGAAUGAGUGUUCAGAAACAUUUUCAGCAGUUUCACAGAGUAUGUUGGAUUAAUGAUAAACUUGGUUUUUUGCAUGUCUUUAAUUAAUUUUGCAUUUUGUAAAGUUAUCAGUCUGAUGGUUUGGAAAUUUUUCAAAUUGUUUCUCAUAGUUCAAGAAGCACUGUUCUUGGGUAGAUGUCAUGUUCCUUUGUCCACAUUUUUGCAUGUCAGUAGUUUGUUCCUUUUUAUUAAUGUCUUGAAUUUCAUUGUUAGGAUGUACUGAUCUCUGUUUAUCCAUUUAUCUGAUGAAAGACAUGUGAAUUGUUUCUG